rnacentral:rRNA from 1 species
UACGUAGGGGGCAAGCGUUGUCCGGAAUCAUUGGGCGUAAAGAGCGUGUAGGCGGUCCGGUAAGUCGGCUGUGAAAGUCCAGGGCUCAACCCUGGGAUGCCGGUCGAUACUGCCGGACUAGAGUUCGGAAGAGGCGAGUGGAAUUCCCGGUGUAGCGGUGAAAUGCAUAGAUAUGUCACAGAACACCAAUUGCGAAGGCAGCUUACUAAGGUGCAAUUGACGCUGAGGCACGAAAGCGUGGGGACCAAACAGG